GUGUAAGGGGGAGGGGCGGGGGUAUCGAGGAGGGGGAGGAGUCUGUCGGCUCCCCCUUCCCAACGCGCACCCCAGCCGCCUCGGCGAGGGGGGAGGGGGGAGGGGAAGCCUGCGAAAACAAACGUCUAACGGCCCCAACCGCCUGGUCGGGCUCCGUGUGGUGGUCACGGCCGGGACCGCGAGGAGCCCAGAGCCGCCGCCGCCCCGGGCAUCGCGCUGACAGGGGAGAGGGGCAACCGUCCGGAUCACGUAGCCCCGGGGGCCGCUCGCAGCCAGGCGGGGCUGCACGCGCGGGAGAACGCGGCAGCUGCAGGGAGGGCCGGGACUCCUGCUUCUGGGGACCGGUCAGGGAGUAAGGGCCUUGAGGUUUCUGGUUCUCCGCGGAUCCCGCGCCACCGCCAACGCCACCGCCACCGCCGCCGCCUCUGCCCGCUUCUCACUCCAAACGGCAACUAAUCCCCCACCGGCACCCAGCCCCCGGCACCGCCUCCCGGUGCUCGGGACCCGGCAGCUGCCGCAACGAGUAUUCCCAUUGGCUCCGCCGCUCUCCACCAGAAUGCGAGUGAUUGGUUCCAGGAUAGGAGUGAGAGGAGUGCCUACCAAUGAAAGUGUAGGUUUGGAAGAGAAUAUAUUUUGGAUCCGAAGAACAUAUUUUGGAUCUGAAAAAUUAAAAGCACUUAAAGAAGACUGAACUUUGUGUUGUACAGACUCCGCUAGACAAGAAGAAACCCACGUGAAUGCUGAGAGGCAAAUCAGUGAAGUGGCCUGAGUUUCUCUUUCUUCAGCUUUAAAAUCUGGUGACUAAACUGGUCAAGCAGAAGAUAUAAUAAACAUAGAUUGGAAUAAAUCUGCAUUUUCCAAGCCUGAUGAAUUUUAAAAACUGAAUUGACUAACUGCAAUCUUGAAGACAGAAGGGAAGUACCCAGUCAUGCCUCCUGAAGAAAGAGUAGUCUGAAAAUUAUGUUGUGUCUGAGGACACAUUACAAAGAGAUAGAGGCUCAAGAUCACCCAGAGGGCCACUGCCUCCACUCUGAGACUGUAAAGAAAGGGCUGGAAAAGGAAUAUUCUCCAUAUAAGUAUGAAUGCUAAAAUGUAAACAUUUUUUAAUUUCAAUCCAAAAAUAAAUAAAUGAAUUAAAAGCCAAA